rnacentral:rRNA from 1 species
UACAGGGGGGGCAAGUGUUAUUCUACAUGACUGGGCGUAAAGGAUGUGUAGGUAGUUUUUUUCAAUUUUUUAGGGAAAUCCUAUGUAAAGCAUAUAGAUAUUCUAAAAUACAAGAGAACUUAGAGUUUAUACAAGAUAAUAGAACUUAGAAGAGUAAACGUGAAAAGUUAAAAAACUUAUAGGAAUUCCACUUAGCGAAAGCAAUUAUCUAGUUAAAACUGACGCUGAAACAUGAAGGUGUAGGUAUCAAACAGG